GAUGAACGCUGGCGGCGUGCCUAAUACAUGCAAGUCGAGCCAACAGACGAGGAGCUUGCUCCUCUGACGUUAGCGGCGGACGGGUGAGUAACACGUGGAUAACCUACCUAUAAGACUGGGAUAACUUCGGGAAACCGGAGCUAAUACCGGAUAAUAUAUUGAACCGCAUGGUUCAAUAGUGAAAGACGGUUUUGCUGUCACUUAUAGAUGGAUCCGCGCCGCAUUAGCUAGUUGGUCAGGUAACGGCUUACCAAGGCAACGAUGCGUAGCCGACCUGAGAGGGUGUUCGGCCACACUGGAACUGAGACACGGUCCAGACUCCUACGGGAGGCAGCAGUAGGGAAUCUUCCGCAAUGGGCGAAAGCCUGACGGAGCAACGCCGCGUGAGUGAUGAAGGUCUUCGGAUCGUAAAACUCUGUUAUUAGGGAAGAACAAAUGUGUAAGUAACUAUGCACGUCUUGACGGUACCUAAUCAGAAAGCCACGGCUAACUACGU
rnacentral:rRNA from 1 species